rnacentral:rRNA from 1 species
ACGGCUCAGUAACACGUGGCUAACCCACCCUUGAGACGGAGAAAACCCCGGGAAACUGGGGUUAAUCUCCGAUAAGAGAAGACACCUGGAAUGGGUCUCCUCUCAAAGGGCGCCUAGACCAUGCUUCUAGGCGUUGCUCAAGGACGGGGCCGCGGCCGAUCAGGUCGUUGGUGAGGCAACGGCUCACCAAGCCUAUAACCGGUACGGGCCGUGAGAGCGGGAGCCCGGAGAUGGGCACUGAGACAAGGGCCCAGGCCCUACGGGGCGCAGCAGUUGCGAAAACUCCGCAAUGCACGAAAGUGUGACGGGGCUACCCCGAGUGCCGUCCGCUGAGGGCGGCUUUUCCCCGGUGUAAGGAGCCGGGGGAAUAAGGAGAGGGCAAGUCUGGUGUCAGCCGCCGCGGUAAUACCAGCUCUCCGAGUGGUAGGGAUGAUUAUUGGGCUUAAAGCGUCCGUAGCCGGCCCGGCAAGUCUUCCGUUAAAUCCAACGAUUCAAUCGUUGGACUGCAGGAGAUACUGUUGGGCUAGGAGGCGGGAGAGGCCGACGGUAUUCUCGGGGUAGGGGUAAAAUCCUAUAAUCCCGGGAGGACCACCAGUGGCGAAGGCGGUCGGCUAGAACGCGCUCGACGGUGAGGGACGAAAGCUGGGGGAGCGAACCGGAUUAGAUACCCGGGUAGUCCCAGCUGUAAACGAUGCGGGCUAGGUGUUGGGGCGGCUACGGGCCGCUUCAGUGCCGCASGGAAACCAUUAAGCCCGCCGCCUGGGGAGUACGGCCGCAAGGCUGAAACUUAAAGGAAUUGGGGGGGAG